ACACAAAUGUAUUCACGGCGUGUAGCAAGUCUUGUUGCCGUGCGUUCAAAUGGCAAUCUGUGUGGCAGAAAACAUUUCGUGGAAGCGGCCGAGCGAAUGGAUGUGUACGGAGCAUAGCACGCUGUAUUCAUUCGGAAAAUCACGCCAAACUUCUAUAGCCAAAAUGGUUCGACGUUGGAGUGGAGAGGAAGCAUAAUUCGAACAGAAUGUAGACAGUUAAGCAAGAUCACGAGUUAAAUUGUCAUUUUUCGUUGAAGCUCCACGUUUUCGAUGUGUAAUCUAAAACAAUUACGAAAAAUCAAGCAAAGUGCAAAAAUGGCUCAUAAGCCUGCAUACACGAAGCUUACGUAAGUGCAAAAGGCACGACAGUUACAAGCGGUGUGACAGAGUCAGCAUGACUCUCUAAUGAACGGCAACAGGGUGUUUUCAUCGUUCGUCAUGAGGCUCAUAUAGCAUAGCGACACCCUGUCGGGAGAGCGCACUUUUGGUGAGAGAUGAGAACACCCACACUGAGAAAACGGCACACAAAGAUAGAGGCCACUCGCUCACGAGUUCGGCGGAGCAAUAGCGAUGAUAUUGCAGUAUAUAAUGAAAUCGACAAAACUGAAAAUCAGAAACCAAACAGACGAGUAGCUGGCUACAACACUGCCACGGUUACAGUUUGCGGCGGCGGCGACGGUGACGACGAUGACGACGCGGCAUACACCUUGCCUCACCUCACUAUCCACUUGGCUCACGCAUACAAACACACGCACGCACACACACACAUUCAUGCAGUUAUGUACAUAUGUGUAUAUUCUUUGCAAGUGGUGGUGAAAUUGUAGUUUUUGCUGCUGUCAAAACGGAAACGAGAAGAAGCACAAAUACAGAGACACCACAGCGGGCAUAGAAAGCAACCAGACAAUUCGAGCACAAGGUAAAAAAAAGGAGAAAAAAGUGGAUGCAAGUUGCGGCGAUGCCAACGCCGUUGUCUCACCAUGGCAAUGCUGUCUACACAUAUGUAUGCAUAUCGUACAUACAUACACACAUACAUUUAAUGGCCAGCAGGGAGAGCAUUGGUCUUGCCGCUCUCUUCCCAUCUCUUUUUCUCUGCAAUGGUCAAACACAUGUUGGAAUUUGAUCGGCCGCGAGAAAAGAGCAACUCAAUAACUUAGCGGCUGCGAAGCGUCAAUAAAAAUCUGUAUACUUGCGAAUUGUGCGCUCAUCGUUGUCGUCGUCGUCGUCAUGGUGGUGGUGGUGGAAAUGGAAACCUUGCAAUUAUCGAUUUCUUUUUCAUGCGUUCGCUUCUGCUGCAUUGCGCAGCGGGGGCGGCGAGAGAGCAACUUAAGAGUGGAGAGAGCACUCGACAGAAUGAGAGAGUGAGCGCCACUGUCACCUGCUAGCUACACAACAAACGCAACUGCAACUGCAACGGCGUUAGUCAAUGCAAAUCGAGUGAACGAAUUUUUAGACACACAUAUGACGCGCUGCCAAAGUUCAAAGUUCACGAGCAGGCGCCUUGUGCAGUAGCAGCAGCAGCAGCAGCAGUAGAAGCAGUUGCAAACGCCUACAAGAGCAGCGCGUAGCGGAGCCUUAGCGUGCACCUACAAGAAAGACAAGUGCAAAAGGGACAACCACACAUGUGUGCGUGCAUUUGAAUUGUGACUAUGUGUGCGCGCGUGUGUGUGUGUGUGAGCCUGCUGCACUCUUAAUAUAUGCAGUCCAGUGUACACACACACACACACAGGCACAGAAGUUUGUUUGCCUUUUUCCAGGUACUUCCGCUGCUUGUUUACGUAUAUGCCCUCGGAUGUUAUUUGCUAUUGCGCAACAAUCAUAUUACAAAAAUAUAUUUACAUAUUUAUAUUUGUAUAUGACGAGUAUAUACACACACAUGUGCAGAAAAGCAGCAAAAGAAUUGUCAACAUAAUGCAAAUUGCGAUUCGUGAAGAACAAUAACAACUGUAAUUUUAUGCCGUGUUGCAAAUUUGCCAUAGUCUUCUGUCAAUUUGUAUAUAAAUGUAACAAGAAUUAUUCGCGGUAUCAGAUAAUAGAGUUUACAAUUACGUGCAAAAUCAGCAAAAAUGUGCAAAACCUAAAAUCAUAUUGCA